rnacentral:lncRNA from 1 species
GGCUUCUUGUUGUGGUCCUUGAUUGUUCUGGGUCCUAGGAUUAGCCUCGGGUUAACUCGGUAGUUUACCUUUUUCUCUUUCACUCACAGUCGUGGCUAAUUGACCUAACUGCAUCUCUAAAUGGGCAAUAGCCUGGGUGUUGGAAGUUAAAAGCUAGCUCGUGGUCUGCAUGAAGUUGUUUAAUAUAGUGUUGGUGCUAGCAGUCAAUUUUGCUAGGAUUUCUAAACUCUUUUCUAGUGAGUUAAGCCUUUGAUCACUAUCAAAACCUGGUG